CUUUAUCAGGGUAUCUAGACUUCUCCAAGAGAUCCUCACAAUUGACUCAGCUGGAAGACUUGGGUGUUUUCUCCUUGCUGCUCUACUCAUGAUUGUGUAACUGCUGCAGGAGCUGCGUCAUCACAGAUCAAGGCUUUGAGACAAAACAGCAAAUUAACUUGCAUUUAAAGAACUAUUGCACAAGUAGAUACAGCAUGUACCAAGGAGAAAAAUAAAACCAGGGAGGAUGGCAAGGGAAGAUAAUGGCGUCUGCCUGCCUGAUGCUGGGAAGUUCAGAGGACUGCAGCUGCAGUGCAUCUGUACUUAAGGAGAAUCAGCAGAAGACAGCGUUUUGAAAGGCAGCAACAGAAAUACAAAACAGUUGAGCUGCCCAUCUGAAGGUGGGUACCAUGAGGAAAAGAGCCAGGCAGUCGUUGGUGCAUAAGAGCAAAAAGAUAACAUCAAUGCUAUUUGGAAACUGGUGAGAUUUGAUCAUUUGAUGGCAGGUAAAGUAAAUACUGUAGGACGCUAUGAAGAGUACUGUAGGCCAUGUAUUAAGCAAUUAAAAAAUACCAAUACUAAAUUGGUUUUUCCUUUAUAAUGCAAUCUGAACUCUUGGUGGAAUACCUUUUGUUGUUAGGUGGUUUGCCAUUUUAAGCUCUAUUCUAGAUGUACAUAUUAAUAGUUUGAUUCCUUGUGAAUUGUGUAUUUGUGUAUCAGUACGUAAGUACUGAUU